rnacentral:rRNA from 1 species
GUUGGGUAGGGGAGCGUUCUGUAAGCCUGUGAAGGUGUGUCGUGAGGCAUGCUGGAGGUAUCAGAAGUGCGAAUGCUGACAUAAGUAACGAUAAAGCGGGUGAAAAGCCCGCUCGCCGGAAGACCAAGGGUUCCUGUCCAACGUUAAUCGGGGCAGGGUGAGUCGACCCCUAAGGCGAGGCCGAAAGGCGUAGUCGAUGGGAAACGGGUUAAUAUUCCCGUACUUGGUGUUACUGCGAAGGGGGGACGGAGAAGGCUAUGUUGGCCGGGCGACGGUUGUCCCGGUUUAAGCGUGUAGGUGUGUGUUCCAGGUAAAUCCGGUUCACUUUAACACUGAGGCGUGACGACGAGGCACUACGGUGCUGAAGCAACAAAUGCCCUGCUUCCAGGAAAAGCCUCUAAGCAUCAGGUAACACGAAAUCGUACCCCAAACCGACACAGGUGGUCAGGUAGAGAAUACCAAGGCGCUUGAGAGAACUCGGGUGAAGGAACUAGGCAAAAUGGUGCCGUAACUUCGGGAGAAGGCACGCUGACACGUAGGUGAAGUGAUUUACUCAUGGAGCUGAAGUCAGUCGAAGAUACCAGCUGGCUGCAACUGUUUAUUAAAAACACAGCACUGUGCAAACACGAAAGUGGACGUAUACGGUGUGACGCCUGCCCGGUGCCGGAAGGUUAAUUGAUGGGGUCAGCGCAAGCGAAGCUCCUGAUCGAAGCCCCGGUAAACGGCGGCCGUAACUAUAACGGUCCUAAGGUAGCGAAAUUCCUUGUCGGGUAAGUUCCGACCUGCACGAAUGGCGUAAUGAUGGCCAGGCUGUCUCCACCCGAGACUCAGUGAAAUUGAACUCGCUGUGAAGAUGCAGUGUACCCGCGGCAAGACGGAAAGACCCCGUGAACCUUUACUAUAGCUUGACACUGAACAUUGAGCCUUGAUGUGUAGGAUAGGUGGGAGGCUUUGAAGUGUGGACGCCAGUCUGCAUGGAGCCGACCUUGAAAUACCACCCUUUAAUGUUUGAUGUUCUAACGUGGACCCGUAAUCCGGGUUGCGGACAGUGUCUGGUGGGUAGUUUGACUGGGGCGGUCUCCUCCUAAAGAGUAACGGAGGAGCACGAAGGUUGGCUAAUCCUGGUCGGACAUCAGGAGGUUAGUGCAAUGGCAUAAGCCAGCUUGACUGCGAGCGUGACGGCGCGAGCAGGUGCGAAAGCAGGUCAUAGUGAUCCGGUGGUUCUGAAUGGAAGGGCCAUCGCUCAACGGAUAAAAGGUACUCCGGGGAUAACAGGCUGAUACCGCCCAAGAGUUCAUAUCGACGGCGGUGUUUGGCACCUCGAUGUCGGCUCAUCACAUCCUGGGGCUGAAGUAGGUCCCAAGGGUAUGGCUGUUCGCCAUUUAAAGUGGUACGCGAGCUGGGUUUAGAACGUCGUGAGACAGUUCGGUCCCUAUCUGCCGUGGGCGCUGGAGAACUGAGGGGGGCUGCUCCUAGUACGAGAGGACCGGAGUGGACGCAUCACUGGUGUUCGGGUUGUCAUGCCAAUGGCACUGCCCGGUAGCUAAAUGCGGAAGAGAUAAGUGCUGAAAGCAUCUAAGCACGAAACUUGCCCCGAGAUGAGUUCUCCCUGAGACUUAGAGUCUCCUGAAGGAACGUUGAAGACGACGACGUUGAUAGGCCGGGUGUGUAAGCGCAGCGAUGCGUUGAGCUAACCGGUACUAAUGAACCGUGAGGCUUAACCUU